UUAUUUCACUCUUCCUUCGGGCAUACCAUCCCUUUACCGAAUAUGCACAUCUCAUCAUAUAUAAUAGGCAGAUAAAUUCUCACUUGAUAGUGAUCUCUUAUAAACAUAGGUACAUUACAUGUUUUCACCUAACUUUCCACAUUGACCAAACGCACAAUAAUCAUAGAACAGUCUUAUUGCUUUACUCACAUAUGCAUCACAUAACGACCUUGUGAUUUAGUCCAAAUCAAGCUUAAAUAUAAUCUCAAAAUACA
rnacentral:lncRNA from 1 species